rnacentral:rRNA from 1 species
GAUGAACGCUGGCGGCGUGCCUAAUACAUGCAAGUCGAGCGAACAGACGAGGAGCUUGCUCCUCUGACGUUAGCGGCGGACGGGUGAGUAACACGUGGAUAACCUACCUAUAAGACUGGGAUAACUUCGGGAAACCGGAGCUAAUACCGGAUAAUAUAUUGAACCGCAUGGUUCAAUAGUGAAAGACGGUUUUGCUGUCACUUAUAGAUGGAUCCGCGCCGCAUUAGCUAGUUGGUAAGGUAACGGCUUACCAAGGCAACGAUGCGUAGCCGACCUGAGAGGGUGAUCGGACACACUGGAACUGAGACACGGUCCAGAAUCCUACGGGAGGCAGCAGUAGGGAAUCUUCCGCAAUGGGCGAAAGCCUGACGGAGCAACGCCGCGUGAGUGAUGAAGGUAUUCGGAUCGUAAAACUCUGUUAUUAGGGAAGAACAAAUGUGUAAGUAACUAUGCACGUCUUGACGGUACCUAAUCAGAAAGCCACGGCUAACUACGUG